AUUGAACGCUGGCGGCAGGCCUAACACAUGCAAGUCGAGCGAGCGGCGGACGGGUGAGUAAUGGCAGGGAAACUGCCUGAGGGAGAGGGAUAACUGCUGGAAACGGUAGCUAAUACCGCAUACCAUCGAAUGUACCUAGAUGGGGUUAGCUAGUAGGUGGGGUAACGGCCAACCAGGGCGACGAUCCCUAGCUGGUCUGAGAGGAUGACCAGCCACACUGGAACUGAGACACGGUCCAGACUCCUACGGGAGGCAGCAGUGGGGAAUAUUGGACAAUGGGCGCAAGCCUGAUGCAGCCAUGCCGCGUGUGUGAAGAAGGCCUUCGGGUUGUAAAGCACUUUCAGCGGGGAGGCGUUACCCGCAGAAGAAGCACCGGCUAACUCCGUGCCAGCAGCCGCGGUAAUAC
rnacentral:rRNA from 1 species